rnacentral:snoRNA from 1 species
UGCAGCUGUGUCAAAUUCAGUGCCUGCCCCACCCAUGGCAGACACUGGCCCAAAAGGCUGCCACAGUGAAAUGUGACUCAUGGGCCCUGAUCCCCUACCUGGGCCUCAGGGAUAAAUUUGGUUACAGACAUUU